UACGAAGGGUGCAAACGUUGCUCGGAAUCAUUGGGCGUAAAGCGCACGUAGGCGGCCCGGUAAGUCAAAGGUGAAAUCCCUCGGCUCAACUGAGGAACUGCCUUUGAAACUGUCGGGCUUGAGGCCGGGAGGGGGUAGCGGAAUUCCCAGUGUAGCGGUGAAAUGCGUAGAUACUGGGAGGAACACCAGUGGCGAAGGCGGCUACCUGGACCGGUUCUGACGCUGAUGCGCGAAAGCGUGGGUAGCAAACAGG
rnacentral:rRNA from 1 species